GUUAAAAAGCUCGUAGUCGGAUUUCGGGGCGGGGCGACCGGUCUGCCGAUGGGUAUGCACUGGUCGGCGCGCCCUUCCUUCCGGAGACCGUGCCUACUCUUAACUGAGCGGGGGCGGGAGACGGAUCGUUUACUUUGAAAAAAUCAGAGUGUUUCAAGCAGGCGUCUCGCCUUUGCAUGGAUUAGCAUGGGAUAAUGAAAUAGGACUUUGGUGCUAUUUUGUUGGUUUCGAACACCGAAGUAAUGAUUAACAGGGACAGUCAGGGGCACUCGUAUUCCGUCGAGAGAGGUGAAAUUCUCAGACCAAUGGAAGACGAACAACUGCGAAAGCAUUUGCCAGGGAUGUUUUCACUGAUCAAGAACGAAAGUUAGGGGAUCGAAGACGAUCAGAUACCGUCGUAGUCUUAACCAUAAACCAUGCCGACUAGGGAUCGGAGGAUGUUAGAUUUGACUCCUUCGGCACCUUACGGGAAACUAAAGUCUUUGGGUUCCGGGGGGAGUAUGGUCGCAAGGCUGAAACUUAAAGGAAUUGACGGAAGGGCACCACCAGGAGUGGAGCCUGCGGCUUAAUUUGACUCAACACGGGGAAACUUACCAGGUCCAGACAUUGUAAGGAUUGACAGAUUGAGAGCUCUUUCUUGAUUCGAUGGGUGGUGGUGCAUGGCCGUUCUUAGUUGGUGGAGUGAUUUGUCUGGUUAAUUCCGUUAA
rnacentral:rRNA from 1 species